ensembl:lncRNA
UGAUUGCAAAGUAUAAUCUUUCAGUGUAAUUUGUUAACUUUGGUUACAUUUAUAUGUCAGUAGUGUUGAUGUUAAGUGCAUAUCCAGUUUCCAAAUAUGUAAGAAAAAUUACUUUGCAAGGGGUUUACUUUUCACAUCACUGUAUACUCUGCUGUUGAAAGAUGGUUUCUGCAAAGGGAAUUCAAUGAGCCAAAAGCAAAACGUUGUUCUGUGUGAUUUAUGCCAACACAACCACCACCAAGUACUAUGCAUAACCUUUUUUUUGGUUAGCUACCUUUACAGUCCUCAGUGGCAACGAUGAAUAAAGAUGAAGGAAUUGAGGCAUACAUUGCAGCACACAACAUAGUUUAAUGGGCCAGUAAAUCUGCAUAAUGUACCUUUUCUUCUUUAGAAAUUGUUGCUGUACUGGAGCUAGAACUGUAAUCAUGUGUACUGUGCAAAUGCCCCCGAUCCUGGAUUGGUCACUAGUUUUUUUUCUCUGACAAAGAAACAUAUUUUCUACUGCAUUUUAGGUUUUAUGUUAAACUUUUUUCUGUUCUCCCUUGGUAGAUAUAAAAAGUAUGUUGAAUGAGUGCAACAUCUGAAUAAUUGAUUAAUUAAAACAGAUGUGUUCUGUUCAAUAAUCACUGAAGCAAUUGUCAAUAUUUUAUUAUAAAUUAAAAUGAUCCCAAUACAGAAAAGAAAAAUCCCCAAAAUACACAAAAACGUCUGCUAAUAGAAAACAACACUUUUGUUCAUCUGUUUGUCAUUGCUCAAUAAAAAUACAUUAAGAAACAGCCUUAUUUUGAUGUCACUUAAAUGACAGUUUCCAUCUUGUUCUGGUCUUAAUCCUUCAGUGGGACCAGAACCAAAUAGACUAGAAGGCAAAUGAGCUUGCCUUCAUCCAAACCAAUGUGUUGUCUGCUCUUUACAAGUAAAAUAAUCAACCCAGCUAUUCAAUGAAUGUAUCAUCAAGGAAAGACUAAUUCCUUGUUGUUCAAUGAAAGAAGGUAGUUAUUUUCUUUUUACACUACUUAAUUCAUUGCGGUUCGGUCUAUAAUUUAAUUAUCCUAUAUUCAGGUAGGCAUUCAUCCAGACAGUAGUAACAAAUGCUUAUCCAUGUGUUUUUGAUUUAUAAUUUAUUUGAAUUGUCUUGUCCAUCUCUUAAGAAUGAACCAUAAGCUGGUGAAUCAUCCCAUUGCUUCCAUUGGUGCCCAUCAAAAUCAGAGUCUGGGUGUUGUGGUUCUUUAACUGCUAGUCUGCAACACUAAUUGACCGUGACUGGGAUAAAGUCACUUAAUAAUGUCAUGGGCCAAGUAUUCUUCCUGACCAGUUAAUUUCCCCAAGUUUUCACAGUCAGGUCUCAAGGUAAGGAAAAACUCCAAGCCAUUACACUUCAUUACUGCUAUUAACCUUGAUAUUAAUGUUACCAGCUUGACAGUGAGUCUACCAUGCAAUGCUUUUUUAGACAAUCCUACUAAAUGAAAAUGACUACUAACCCAGUGUACAAGAGCUAAAAAG